rnacentral:rRNA from 1 species
GCUGGCGGCAUGCCUAACACAUGCAAGUCGAACGGUAACGCGGAGAGCUUGCUCUCUGGCGACGAGUGGCGGACGGGUGAGUAAUACUUAGGAAUCUGCCCAGUAGUGGGGGACAACUCGAGGAAACUCGAGCUAAUACCGCAUACGCCCUACGGGGGAAAGCGGGGGAUCUUCGGACCUCGCGCUAUUGGAUGAGCCUAAGUCGGAUUAGCUUGUA